GUGAGGGUUGAGGGCAGGACCGUAUGAGGUGUCCAAGGAAGGCUCCACUCAGCCGGCCCUUCCCUCCCCUCAC
ensembl:miRNA